CUAGGUCUGAAGUGGGUCUCUUGUAGACAGCAUAUAUAUGGGUCUUGUUUUUGUAUCCAUUCAGCAAGCCUGUGUCUUUUGAUUGGAGCAUUUAAUCCAUUCAGGUUUAAGGUAAUUAUCGAUAUGUAUGUUCCUAUGACCAUUUUCUUAAUUGUUUUGGGUUUGUUUUUGUAGGUCCUUUUCUUCUCUUGUGUUUCUCACUUAGAGAAGUUCCUUUAGCAUUUGUUGUAGAGUUGGUUUGGUGGUGCUGAAUUCUCUUAGCUUUUGCUUGCCUGUAACGGUUUUGAUUUCUCCAUCAAAUCUGAAUGAGAUCCUUGCCGGGUAGAGUAAUCUUGGUUGUAGGUUCUUCUCUUUCAUCACUUUAAGUAUAUCAUGCCACUCCCUUCUGGCUUGUAGAGUUU